ACCGUUUCUCGGCCUUUGGCUAAGAUCAAGUAUAAUAUCUUUUCUUAUCAGUUCAACUUCUGAUAUGUCCUCUAGCUGAGGACAGCAUAUUAAAUUGUUUUUGCUAGUGGGAGUUGGACUAGGAGCUUGCUCCACCGCUGCAUGCGUCAACCUGGUAUUGCAGUACUUCCAGGAAUGGGGCGGUCCCU
ensembl:snRNA U2 U2 spliceosomal RNA